rnacentral:tRNA from 1 species
GGAAGCGUGGCUGAGCGGUUUAAGGCACUGGUCUUGAAAACCAGCGAUGGGCAACCACCCGUGAGUUCGAAUCUCACCGCUUCCGCCA